GCCAGAGUGGUGCAGUGGUUUGAGCGUCUGACUGUGACUCUGGAGACCAUGCUUUGAUUCCCUGCUCAGUCA